CCUACGGGAGGCUGCAGUGAGGAAUAUUGGUCAAUGUGCGGAAGCCUGAACCAGCCAAGUAGCGUGCGGGAUGAAGGCCCUACGGGUCGUCAACCGCUUUUGCACGGGGAUAACACCCUCCAAUUGUGGAGGUCUGCAGGUACCGUGCGAAUAAGGGCCGGCUAAUUCCGUGCCAGCAGCAGCGGUAAUACGGAAGGCCCGAGCGUUAUCCGGAUUCAUUGGGCUUAAAGGGAGUGUAGGCGGGCGUUAACGUCAGCUGUAAAAUCGCGCGGCUCAACCGCGCCCCGCAGUUGAAACGGGACGCCUUGAGUACACAACAGGCAGGCGGAAUUCGUGGUGUAGCGGUGAAAUGCAUAGAUAUCACGAGGAACGCCGAGUGCGAAGGCAGCCUGCCGGGGUGCGGCUGACGCUGAGGCUCGAAGGUGAGGGUAUCAAACAGGAUUAGAUACCCCGGUAGUC
rnacentral:rRNA from 1 species